rnacentral:rRNA from 1 species
GACGAACGCUGGCGGCGUGCUUAACACAUGCAAGUCGAACGGAAAGGCCCUGCUUUUGCGGGGUGCUCGAGUGGCGAACGGGUGAGUAACACGUGAGUAACCUGCCCCUGACUUUGGGAUAACUUCAGGAAACUGGGGCUAAUAUCGGAUAGGAGCUCCUGCUGCAUGGUGGGGGUUGGAAAGUUUCGGCGGUUGGGGAUGGACUCGCGGCUUAUCAGCUUGUUGGUGGGGUAGUGGCUUACCAAGGCUUUGACGGGUAGCCGGCCUGAGAGGGUGACCGGCCACAUUAGGACUGAGAGACGGCGCAGACGCCUACGGGAGGCAGCAGUGGAGAAUAUUGCACAGUGGGCGGAAGCCUGAUACAGCAACGCCGCGUGCGGGAUAACGGCCUUCGAGUUGUAAACCGCUUUCGCCUGUGACGAAGCGGGAGUGACGGUAAUGGGUAAAGAAGCACCGGCUAACUACGUG